rnacentral:rRNA from 1 species
CGAUGUCGGCUCAUCACAUCCUGGGGCUGAAGUAGGUCCCAAGGGUAUGGCUGUUCGCCAUUUAAAGUGGUACGCGAGCUGGGUUUAGAACGUCGUGAGACAGUUCGGUCCCUAUCUGCCGUGGGCGUUGGAAGAUUGAGAGGGGUUGCUCCUAGUACGAGAGGACCGGAGUGAACGCACCACUGGUGUUCGGGUUGUCAUGCCAAUGGCAUUGCCCGGUAGCUAAGUGCGGAAAAGAUAAGCGCUGAAAGCAUCUAAGCGCGAAACUUGCCUCAAGAUGAGUCUUCCCUGG